UGGGGAUCUCUGCAUACCUGAGGCCUUCUGAAGCUGGAAAAGGAGCUCCUGAAUAUUGUGUGCACAUGAAGCUGGCACUACUUUGCCUGGGGAUGUGCGGUGACCUCUUGGGAAGAGGAGAAUGGUGAGGAAUAUUCAUUUAAAAUGUGAGUUCCCAAAGCAAAUUAGGUUAUGAUGGAAAAUGGUCCCAUUUAUAAGCUUCUGAAAGGUUAUCUUUCUGUAAAGGUCACUGGGUUAACCACAGCUAGAAGGACUGCAUUAGGUUGUUUUAAUCACUCCGCAGUGAAUGUUUAAGAUAGGGUUCAUAUGGGAAAGUCCUGUGAAAAUAUGCUUUUCUUUUUUUUUUUUGUAUUCCACUAAUGCAUGCAGGAUUCAUUGGAGAUAAGAGCUCCACAGGUCAUCUGUACCAACAUGCAGCGAAGGGAAACUUCUCCAUACAGAGGAACCCACAGUGGGGAAGAAGGGGAUAUAGAGACACUAUGACAGCCUGCCUGUACGAGUGCCAGGGUCAGAAUAUACAGCUUUGUUUUUCUGGAGAAAACAUCCAUCUCUGUGACACUUCUCCCAGGCUAACCCUGUAAUAGUAAAUAAGUCAUGUUGUUGGAGGGUCUCUGUAAAGAAGGGAUGAUGUUUUCCUGCUAUGCAUUAAAGCUACCCUAUUUAACUGAAUUCUUGGUGAAAUUAUCUAGGAGAUGGAGGAAUAAACAGGCCUGAUACAAGAAGAUAUUAACUACUAGAUGAGGUAGGAUUUUCCCUCAAUGUGUAAUUUCAUAGAUAAGCAAGUAUCAAACUAGAGGACACAGUCUAUCUUCAGCAAGAUGCUUUGUCUGUGCAAUGCAUGUUCAACUCGUCCUCGUGAGUGUGCCAAUCGAGCCUGUAAGAGUAUCCCCUCUACCUUAUCUCAGGUAAUAAGUGUCUUCUAGAUGGCCCAGCUGCUCUCUGUCUGCUGCCAGAAGACAAUAACUGGGUAACUGAGAUCUCAGCUGAAAGGCUUGCUGUAGUUAUGCUUCAUUGCAGAGAUAAGGUGGCACCAAAACUGUUGAUGGCAGAAUGAAGGAAAACAAAUUAUCAUGUCUGAAAUAAAAUGAAUUUUAAUUAA